rnacentral:rRNA from 1 species
GUAGGUGGCAAGCGUUGUCCGGAAUUAUUGGGCGUAAAGCGCGCGCAGGUGGUUCGUUUAAGUCUGAUGUGAAAGACCCCCGGGCUCAACCGGGGAGGGUCAUUGGAAACUGGGGAACUUGAGUGCAGGAGAGGAAAGUGGAAUUCCACGUGUAGCGGUGAAAUGCGUAGAUAUGUGGAGGAACACCAGCGGCGAAGGCGACUUUCUGGCCUGUAACUGACACUGAGGCGCGAAAGCGUGGGGAGCAAACAGGAUUAGAUACCCUGGUAGUCCACGCCGUAAACGAUGAGUGCUAAGUGUUGGGGGGUUUCCGCCCCUCAGUGCUGCAGCUAACGCAUUAAGCACUACGCCUGGGGAGUACGGUCGCAAAGACUG